rnacentral:rRNA from 1 species
AAUAGAUACCCUGGUAGUCCACGCCGUAAACGGUGGACACUAGGUGUGGGCGACAUUCCACGUCGUCCGUGCCGCAGCUAACGCAUUAAGUGCCCCGCCUGGGGAGUACGGCCGCAAGGCUAAAACUCAAAGGAAUUGACGGGGGCCCGCGCAAGCGGCGGAGCAUGUGGCUUAAUUCGACGCAACGCGAAGAACCUUACCAAGGCUUGACAUACACCGGAAACGUCCAGAGAUGGGCGCCCCCUUGUGGUCGGUGUACAGGUGGUGCAUGGCUGUCGUCAGCUCGUGUCGUGAGAUGUUGGGUUAAGUCCCGCAACGAGCGCAACCCUUGUCCCGUGUUGCCAGCAGGCCCUUGUGGUGCUGGGGACUCACGGGAGACCGCCGGGGUCAACUCGGAGGAAGGUGGGGACGACGUCAAGUCAUCAUGCCCCUUAUGUCUUGGGCUGCACACGUGCUACAAUGGCCGGUACAUGAGCUGCGAUACCGCGAGGUGGAGCGAAUCUCAAAAAGCCGGUCUCAGUUCGGAUUGGGGU